ACGAACGCUGGCGGCGUGCUUAACACAUGCAAGUCGCACGGAAAGGCCCUGCUUUUGUGGGGUGCUCGAGUGGCGAACGGGUGAGUAACACGUGAGUAACCUGCCCUUGACUUUGGGAUAACUUCAGGAAACUGGGGCUAAUACCGGAUAGGAGCUCCUGCUGCAUGGUGGGGGUUGGAAAGUUUCGGCGGUUGGGGAUGGACUCGCGGCUUAUCAGCUUGUUGGUGGGGUAGUGGCUUACCAAGGCUUUGACGGGUAGCCGGCCUGAGAGGGUGACCGGCCACAUUGGGACUGAGAUACGGCCCGGACUCCUACGGGAGGCAGCAGUGGGGAAUAUUGCACAAUGGGCGGAAGCCUGAUGCAGCAACGCAGCGUGCGGGAUGACGGACUUCGGGUUGUAAACCGCUUUCGCCUGUGACGAAGCGUGAGUGACGGUAAUGGGUAAAGAAGCACCGGCUAACUACGUG
rnacentral:rRNA from 1 species